rnacentral:lncRNA from 1 species
GAAAAGAACAGGAGGGAAUGAGAGGCUCAGCCCCAUAGACCCUUCUCCCUGCUGCCAUCCACUCAGGGCAUUGUGCUUAGUGAAAGCCCAGUUUCCGCAGGGAUUACUUUGGGCACACAACAUUCUAGGAGCUGGAUGUCCAGGAAUUCCUGUUAAUUAGGCAUUUAUUCACGGAAUAAAUGUUUCCCUGAAGAGCUUUCUGCAGCUGGCCAAUGUUCCGGUUUGGUCGUGGGCAGUGAGAUGCCCAUUAGUCUAGAAUACACGACAGUGUGAGGCGCACGUUCACACGUGAAUUGCCCGUGAGUCAAGGAUCUUGCUAUGGUGCCCAGGCUGGCCUUGAACUUCUGGCCUCAAGCAAUCCACCCAUCUCAGUCUCCCGAGUAGCCGGGAUUACAGAUCUACAUUUAGAACAGGACUGCAAAGAAAGGAAAGGAGAAAUGAAGAAAAGGAAGCAGACAAAGUUCUGGUUUUCAGUAGUUCCUUGGAGAGCUCAAGACUCAGACUCUGACCCUGUCUGCAAAGGGGGAUCGUCCAGCCUUUGAAAUAACCAUUUCCUUCCCUCCUGGCCUUUUUCAGAUCAGAGAGGUGGGAGGGGGCGUGGAGAUUUAGUUCCCGGAUGCACUGAACAGGAGGCUGUGAGCUUUCCUCUGAUGUGCGACUCUUCUGCAGGGGCCCUGGCCCUGGGAGGCGGGGCUCUGGGCUGCGGCAGCUCCUCCUGUGGUCUACCUUGGCUUCACUGCAGGCCCAGCUGCUGCUGACCACGCGGGUUUCUUUUAAGAGGCUUGGCUGACCCUCAGCACAGCUGAAAUGUUCUGAGACCUUGAAUGUCAGAGAUGGAAGCAACUUUAUGAUUCUCUGGGCCAGAGGUUCCCAGGCUGGGGUCCCUGGACUUGGGGUGCUCAGACUAUUCCCGGUUCUUUCAAAAGCUGAAAAGAAACAGUAUAUAGCCCCUGUGUGAGGGCUCACGGGCUCGUAAAAGUAUCCGGUGUCUUGACUUUUCUCUGAAAUCAGCUCCAGCUGGUCCCUCUGUACCCUGGUGUUGCUGGUGACAGUGAUAGCUUCCCACUGAACUUAGCUGCUAGAAGCAAGGUGAAGCCCUUCACACACCAUCUCACUGAUCUUCGAUCCUGUAAGAUGGGUACGUUUAUGAGUCCUAUUUUGCAGAUGGAGACACUAAGUGCCAAAGGGGUUAAGCACUGUGCCCGAGUUCACACACCCAGCAGCCUGACUCCACAGCUCCAACCCCCAGCUACUAGCAAAUAGUCCUCUGAAAGCUCAGUUAUUUAGCUUUGAACACAGCAAAACUCAUCAUUAUUCAGGGAAGAUAAUUUAGUAGAGAAAAUGUUGAGAUCUAAGUACUACACUUAGGAGGAAUAAUAAAAGGGUUGGUGGAAUAGUUGAGGAUAUGCCAUUUUUAAUUUUUUAUUGAUUUUGUUUUGUUUUGUUUUGUUUUUCUUUGCUCUUGAGAGAUGGCACAUGCCACUUUGUUUUGUAAAACAAAGGCCUAGAGAAGUGAGGGUCCUGGGACUUUGACUCCAAAGCAUGUCUGGGACCCUGCACAUCUAACUCCUACCUAUGUCGCUGGUGGAACUUAUGCUCUUAACAAGGAGAUUUCUAUCUGAAUGUCCUGGGAGGUGCCUUCCAAUUCUUCCAUGAUUGCAUCUCUUGGAUGGUGGAGUGAGAAAUGAGAUUUAUCUUCUGAAGCCAAAACCCAUAUCUAACUGAUCAUGGCAUAUUUAGUGCUACAAAUGAAAUACAAAUAGAAAGACAUACUAAGCAUCCUUUCAAUUCUUCGUGACAAGAAGACCCUUCUGCAUCCAUAGCAACCAGGAAACACAGAAACAAGAACAUCCUUCAACCCUGAAUGAUUUCUGCAGUAAUAUCAUUUUAGAUUUUGUGCCUUGAACACAACUAUAGUUUUAUGUUUGCUUUUUGCAUAUAUUUUGUAUUUAUUUCAUAAAACAUGAAAGCAUUCUAAAAACACUAAAUAAUUCUCAUCUUACCCUCACCUCUACUAAUGAUGUUUCUUCCUGCUUAAAGCAUUCACAGCAUCUAUUGUUAUAUUUCUGAAAGAUUUGAAUUUUUUAAAAGUAGAGAUCUAAUAACAUGAGAGAAAUUUGAAAACAAGGUAAAAAGCCAUAAGCCUACCACUUUGACAGUGACAACCAUAUUUUUAUGUGCCCUUGCUGUUUUUACAACUCACGUGUGUUUAAAUAUUUUUUCAGACUAUUUCACCUAAUAUUUUAUCAGAAGCAUUUUCUAUAAUCCCAUAAAGUUUAUACCCGUCAUUUUUAAGGGCUAUAGAAUAUUUUUUCAAGGUUUAUACCAUAAUUUACUUAACUACCCUCCUUCCCCUUUUUGCAUAUUUGGGAUGAUUCCAGGUUUUCACUAAGCAGCUCUUUGAUGAAUAUUUUUCUGCAUAUGGCUUUUUCCAUAUUUCAGGGUAUUUUCUUAGGCUAGCUUCCCAGAAGGGGAUUACUGAGUCAAAGCACAUUAACAUUUUUAUGGCUUCAUAGUAUCUUUUGAAGAAGGUAGGUGUUCCAUUUCAUGAGGUCCACAAACAUAAAAGAGGAAAUUUGGCUUCAAAAACUCCCUUGUAACACAUGUACAUUAAAAUUUUGUCGUAGAGCUGUUCUGAUACUUUUCUAAGUAAUUAAAGCUUGCCCUUUUAAAUUAAACAAAUAUAAAAAGUUAUUUUUCACUUU